UUGGUUAAGUUAGAAAGGGCGCACGGUGGAUGCCUUGGCACUAGGAGCCGAAGAAGGACGGGACUAACACCGAUAUGCUUUGGGGAGCUGUACGUAAGCGUUGAUCCAGAGAUUUCCGAAUGGGGGAACCCACUAUCUUUAGUCGGAUAGUAUCCUUACGUGAAUACAUAGCGUGAGGAAGGCAGACCCAGGGAACUGAAACAUCUAAGUACCUGGAGGAAGAGAAAGAAAAAUCGAUUUCCUGAGUAGCGGCGAGCGAAACGGAAAGAGCCCAAACCAAGAAGCUUGCUUCUUGGGGUUGUAGGACACUCUAUACGGAGUUACAAAAGAAAGUUAUAAAUGAAGCGGUCUGGAAAGGCCCGCCAAAGACGGUAACAGCCCGGUAGUUGAAAUGGCUUUCCCUCCAGAGUGGAUCCUGAGUACGGCGGAACACGUGAAAUUCCGUCGGAAUCCGGGAGGACCAUCUCCCAAGGCUAAAUACUCCCUAGUGACCGAUAGUGAACCAGUACCGUGAGGGAAAGGUGAAAAGCACCCCGGAAGGGGAGUGAAACAGUUCCUGAAACCGUGUGCCUACAAGUAGUUAGAGCCCGUUAAUGGGUGAUAGCGUGCCUUUUGUAGAAUGAACCGGCGAGUUACGAUUUGUUGCAAGGUUAAGCGGAAAAAGCGGAGCCGUAGCGAAAGCGAGUCUGAAUAGGGCGCAUAAGUAACAGGUCGUAGACCCGAAACCAGGUGAUCUACCCAUGUCCAGGAUGAAGGUAAGGUAAUACUUACUGGAGGUCCGAACCCACGCACGUUGAAAAGUGCGGGGAUGAGGUGUGGGUAGCGGAGAAAUUCCAAUCGAACUUGGAGAUAGCUGGUUCUCUCCGAAAUAGCUUUAGGGCUAGCCUCGAGGUAAAGAGUCAUGGAGGUAGAGCACUGUUUGGACUAGGGGCCCUUCUCGGGUUACCGAAUUCAGAUAAACUCCGAAUGCCAUGUACUUAUACUCGGGAGUCAGACUGCGAGUGAUAAGAUCCGUAGUCGAAAGGGAAACAGCCCAGACCACCAGUUAAGGUCCCCAAAUAUAUGUUAAGUGGAAAAGGAUGUGGGGUUGCUUAGACAACCAGGAUGUUGGCUUAGAAGCAGCCACCAUUGAAAGAGUGCGUAAUAGCUCACUGGUCGAGUGACCCCGCGCCGAAAAUGUACCGGGGCUAAACAUAUUACCGAAACUGUGGAUGAACCUCUUUAGAGGUUCGUGGUAGGAGAGCGUUCUAAGGGCGGUGAAGUCAGACCGGAAGGACUGGUGGAGCGCUUAGAAGUGAGAAUGCCGGUAUGAGUAGCGAAAGAAGGGUGAGAAUCCCUUCCACCGAAUAUCUAAGGUUUCCUGAGGAAGGCUCGUCCGCUC
rnacentral:rRNA from 1 species